rnacentral:rRNA from 1 species
AUUGAACGCUGGCGGCAUGCCUUACACAUGCAAGUCGAACGGCAGCACGGGAGCAAUCCUGGUGGCGAGUGGCGAACGGGUGAGUAAUAUAUCGGAACGUGCCCAGUCGUGGGGAUAACGUAGCGAAAGCUACGCUAAUACCGCAUACGAUCUAUGGAUGAAAGCGGGGGAUCGCAAGACCUCGCGCGAUUGGAGCGGCCGAUAUCAGAUUAGGUAGUUGGUGAGGUAAAGGCUCACCAAGCCGACGAUCUGUAGCUGGUCUGAGAGGACGACCAGCCACACUGGGACUGAGACACGGCCCAGACUCCUACGGGAGGCAGCAGUGGGGAAUUUUUGGGACAAUGGGCGCAAGCCUGAUCCAGCAAUGCCGCGUGCAGGAUGAAGGCCUCGG